UUCGGUGGCCAUAGCGAGGGGGCCACACCCGUUCCCAUUCCGAACACGGCAGUUAAGCCCCUCUGCGCCGAUGGUACUGCCAGGGUAACUUGGUGGGAGAGUAGGACGCCGCCGAAU
rfam:Delta proteobacterium MLMS-1 ctg905, whole genome shotgun sequence.